AGUGAACGCUGGCGGUAGGCCUAACACAUGCAAGUCGAACGGCAGCACAGUAAGAGCUUGCUCUUACGGGUGGCGAGUGGCGGACGGGUGAGGAAUACAUCGGAAUCUACUUUUUCGUGGGGGAUAACGUAGGGAAACUUACGCUAAUACCGCAUACGACCUACGGGUGAAAGCAGGGGAUCUUCGGACCUUGCGCGAUUGAAUGCGCGGAUGUCGGAUUAGCUAGUUGGCGGGGUAAAGGCCCACCAAGGCGACGAUCCGUAGCUGGUCUGAGAGGAUGAUCGGCCACACUGGAACUGAGACACGGUCCAGACUCCUACGGGAGGCAGCAGUGGGGAAUAUUGGACAAUGGGCGCAAGCCUGAUCCAGCCAUACCGCGUGGGUGAAGAAGGCCUUCGGGUUGUAAAGCCCUUUUGUUGGGAAAGAAAAGCAGCAGGUUAAUACCCCGCUGUUCUGACGGUACCCAAAGAAUAAGCACCGGCUAACUUCGUG
rnacentral:rRNA from 1 species